AUUUGUGCUUCUUUCUUCUAUACUUUGUUUGUCCUCAUAAAUAAUCCACCCCAAAUUCCAUCUCUGGACCUGCUUCAGAGAAUCCAGCUUGUGCAAAGUCUAAAAGCACAAUUAAAGGGUUGCCUUUCUGUGAUCAUCCCUCUUGGGUUUACAUUAGUUCUCUGUGAUCCCUGGAUGUCCCUGACUCAGUGCCCACUAUUGUUUGCUGUGGAAAAAGACAAGAUUCUUGGAAAGGAGAUAACCUCCAGAAAGACUUUAGAUGUCACUUGGAAGAGAGAGAGCUGAGAAACAAAAUGAAAGUGGCCUUGAUCCCUGAAUUACCAUUUUGAAACGACUUGCCUGAUUAGGAAUAUCAGUACUAUAUGGCUAUGCCGGAUUUAUGAUAUUCUGCCUCACCACAGGACCAAAGAAAUUUGACCAAGUGACCAUGGACUGAAACCUGAAAUUACAGGACAAAAUAUGUUUCCUUUUUACAAAUUCUUUUAUCUUGGCUAUUUUAAAUAGCACCAUAAAGCUAUCAAAUACUAAGAUUGUGCAGAUCAACAUUUAAUUCCUACAUGUUCCUUUAUUUACUGUUGCAUUUUAAGAAAGUUUCUGAGUAUCUCUAAGCCUCAAUGUACAGAUCUGCAAAAUGAAAAUAAUAUUGAUGUUGCAGUCAGGUUCACAUUGCUGGCAGAAAUCACCCAACCAAAAGCAGCUUGUGGGGAAAAAUGCUUAUUUUGGCUUACAG